rnacentral:lncRNA from 1 species
CAUCUUUUAACUUAAAAUGAUUACCCCUUUUUCUAGUGCAACAAGUCCUUCUAAAAAGUUUUUUAUCCUGAAUCUCCACCCUUAAAACAACCUUGUAGAGCACAGUUUGAUGGCUAUUUCUUGUUUUGUUUAUUUGUUUAGAAAUUCUCUGCAUUUUUCAAGGAUGAAAUGGUCUGAGCUAAGAGUGGUUCAUCAUGGAGCUAAGAGUGGUUCAUCAUGGUUAACCCUAAGAAAUGGCACAGGGGAAAGUUGUACACGGAGCUGUCUGCAUCUUGCAAGGCCAAUGUCUUCAUGGCCUGAGGUGAGGUGGACCUGAGGAAAAUUAUGUCUGGGACCACGGGGAACUGAGCCAAGCGUAGUCCAGGGAGAUGCCAAGAGCAGCUUCAUCUUCGAGUUCAGCUGAAGACAGUACCCGAGGGCUGUAGGCACCAUAUGAUGACACUGAUAUGGGACAGGAAUCACAGCUGACCAGGACAGCUUCCCUGUUCUGCUCUCCAUCAGCAGCAGCACCAAGACAAGCCAAAAUUCCAGCAUGUGACGCAUCAUCACAUUCCCAGCGUCAAACUUGCCUUAACACCAACUGGAAUACAAAAUGGGGCCAAAGCAAAGCCCUUGGACCUCUUGUUCCUCAUGUUUGUUUUUUUUUUUAACAACAAGCUAUAAGCAGAGCAGGAGGAAAUGGAGCAUAAAUAUUAUACUUUGUUUAGUCUUAGGAAAUAUAAUUUAUAAUUAGAGUUGGGCAUCCUGUUGACAUGACAGAAUCUAUUUCAAGAGUGAGGUGAGCACAUGGUCAAACUCUAAUCUUUUGUAAAUGAUUAAAAACUGCCAGUUCUUUUAUUCUUGUCUUCUUUCUUUGGUCUUAUCUUUAUCUUUUUUUUUUCUUUUUAAUGUAAUUUCUAGAAAGCAAGUGGGUUAACAUCAGUUCAAGAUAAUGAUACUUAUAGGGGCAGUGAUGUCUUGAAGUAUCUCAGCAGCUGGAAAUUUUGUUUUCUCUUCAUGCACUUCUGCUUGCCUUCAUGCCAUCCCCACCAACCAAGCCCAUUCACUUCUACUGUGGAAGAGUGGGAAUCCAUGAGACUUGGAGGGUGAGGAGAAGGUAAAGAUUGACUUUGUGUGACCAGCACUGGCCUGUGUGC